GCCGGGCGUGGUGGCGCGCGCCUAUAGUCCCAGCUACUUGGGAGGCUGAGGCUGGAGGAUCGCUUGAGCCCAGGAGUUCUGGGCUGCAGUGCGCUAUGCCGAUCGCGUGUCCGCACUAAGUUCGGCAUCAAUAUGGUGACCUCCCGGGAGCGGGGGACCACCAGGUUGCCUAAGGAGGGGUGAACUGGCCCAGGUCAGAAACGGAGCAGCUCAAAACUCCCAUGCUGAUCAGAAGGAAAAGGGGACAGUUCCUCGAGUGCCAGCUGUCUUCCAAGCUACUCCUAGGUCCCAU
rnacentral:SRP_RNA from 1 species